CCCUUAGAUGUCCUGGGCCGCACGCGCGCUACACUGAGUGUCUGAGAUACGAGUCUGCCUGGUCCGGCAAGGUCUAGGUAAUCGCUAAAAGACACAUCAUGCUUGGGAUAGAUUAUUGCAAAUAUUAAUCUUGAACGAGGAAUUCCUAGUAAGCGCAAGUCAACAGCUUGCGUUGAUUACGUCCCUGCCCUUUGUACACACCGCCCGUCGCUACUACUGAUUGGAUGUUUAAGCGAGGUUCUCGAACUGCUAGCGACUUAGCUUCGGUGAGGUCGCAGUGUGGGAAGUGAACCUAGCUUUGGUGUCUAGAGGGAGUAAAAGUCGUAACA
rnacentral:rRNA from 1 species